GAUGAACGCUGGCGGCGUGCUUAACACAUGCAAGUCGAACGAAGCACCUCUCCCGAAGAUUGACACAGCUUGCUGUAGAUUGAUUCAUUUGAGGUGACUGAGUGGCGGACGGGUGAGUAACGCGUGGGUAACCUGCCUCAUAGAGGGGGACAACAGUUGGAAACGACUACUAAUACCGCAUAGUAAGAAGAAUUCGCAUGUUUUCUUCUUGAAAGAUUUAUCGCUAUGAGAUGGACCCGCGUCUGAUUAGCUAGUUGGUAAGGUAACGGCUUACCAAGGCGACGAUCAGUAGCCGGCUUGAGAGGGUGAACGGCCACAUUGGGACUGAGACACGGCCCAAACUCCUACGGGAGGCAGCAGUGGGGAAUAUUGCACAAUGGGGGAAACCCUGAUGCAGCGACGCCGCGUGAGUGAAGAAGUAUUUCGGUAUGUAAAGCUCUAUCAGCAGGGAAGAUAAUGACGGUACCUGACUAAGAAGCCCCGGCUAACUACGUG
rnacentral:rRNA from 1 species